CUGGGAUUCCUAUGCUUUGCUCAAAACAACUGACAAAAAGAGGUCUGCCUCUCCAACCCCGCUACUGCUGUGAAGGAUUGCUGUCUGAGACGGCAGCUCACUUCCUGUGCAUUAAUCAUUAGCUCCAUCUCUGGUAUGUGCAGCCAUGCACAUACCAAGGGUCCAAACUCCAAGCACUCAAGAUGGUUCAGAGGGAGGCACAAUCCAUAGCCACAGGCAGCCUGAGGACCGACUGCAUUUUGGAAUGCAGCCCCUGCACCGGGCCGGAGAGCAGGCACACACGUGGAAAGACACAGGAGACCUCCCAGAGAAACUGCAUGCUGCCCAAUCCUCCAGAGAGUGCAGAAAAAUCUGUUCAAGGCAACUUCAAAACAAGUCUGAUGAUGCCAGCAAAUGCACUUCAUGGAUGUGCAAAAGCUCUGAGUGUUGAGAAAACGGAGUUCUUUUAGAUGCCAGAUUAUUAAAAAGAGAGUGCAUGGCAGAGAAAGAAAGUUCACUUCUACAUCUCUACAACAGCACCACACAGCCCUGUUG
ensembl:lncRNA